UACGUAGGGUGCAAGCGUUAAUCGGAAUUACUGGGCGUAAAGACGUGCGCAGGCGGUUAUGUAAGACAGUUGUGAAAUCCCCGGGCUCAACCUGGGAACUGCAUCUGUGACUGCAUAGCUAGAGUACGGUAGAGGGGGAUGGAAUUCCGCGUGUAGCAGUGAAAUGCGUAGAUAUGCGGAGGAACACCGAUGGCGAAGGCAAUCCCCUGGACCUGUACUGACGCUCAUGCACGAAAGCGUGGGGAGCAAACAGG
rnacentral:rRNA from 1 species